UUAAAAGAAAACACCCAUAACUGGGUUCUGGUCGAUCGAACAAGAGAGCAGGGAAAGGGGUGAAACCCUAACUUCAAGAAAUCAAGAAUUGAGCUUGAAUCAAAGGAGAAAUCUAAUGCAUGAACCCCUAAAUGCGAGUAGCUAACCUCAAUUUCUAUAGUGGCGCGAAAGAAGAAGGUUCCAACACUAGGAAAUCGGAAAGUUCACAAGAUCGAGGUAAAUCCUCAAUGUAGGCGAUUUGGCAAAUUGGAGCGAGCAUACGCACACUCUAUGACCAUCAAGCGCUUCCGCUAGUCCGUAUUAAUGUUUUGGGUCAAAAUAUUUAUUUUGUACAACUUGUUAGUAGUCACACUUUUUAGCACUUUAACACUUGAUGUUUUGGUUUUUAGUAGUAUCUUGUCGAAUGGAUUGUAGAAUUGUAUUUGUUUUGAUUAUGGUUAAAACAGGGGUAUACUCGUUUUACGGACAGGUCAUGCCCAAAUUUUGUUAAAAACUGUGCAUAAAU